rnacentral:rRNA from 1 species
AUUGAACGCUGGCGGGAGGCUUAACACAUGCAAGUCGAACGAGUGGCGGACGGGUGAGUAAUAUAUCGGAACGUGACCGGUGGCGGGGGAUAACUACUGGAAAGGGUCGCUAAUACCGAAUUCGAUGGUAGAGGCCCAUAUGGGAUUAGCUAGGUGUGGGGGUAACGGCUAACCAAGGCAACGAUCCCUAGCUGGUUUGAGAGGAUGACCAGCCACACUGGAACUGAGACACGGUCCAGACUCCUAUGGGAGGCAGCAGUGGGGAAUAUUGGACAAUGGGGGCAAGCCUGAUCCAGCCAUCCCGCGUGUAUGAUGAAGGCCUUCGGGUUGUAAAGUACUUUUGGCAGGGAAGCGGUAUCUGCAGAAGAAGCACCGGCUAACUCCGUGCCAGCAGCCGCGGUAAUAC